GAUGAACGCUGGCGGCGUGCCUAAUACAUGCAAGUCGAGCGAAGCGGGGACGGGGGAGUAACACGUGGAUAACAUCCUAUAAGACUGGGAUAAAUUAGGGAAACAGGAGCUAACACGGAUGCAUAUAGAUGGAUCGACGCUGCAUUAGCGAGUUGGUAAGGUAACGUAUUACCAAGGCAACGAUGCAUAGCCGAACUGAGAGGGUGAUCGGCUACACUGGAACUGAGACACGGUCCAGACUCCUACGUGAGGCACCAGUAGGGAAUCUUCCGCAAUGGGCGAAAGCCUGACGUAGCAACGCCGCGUGAGUGAUGAAGGUCUUCGGAUCGUAAAACUCUGUUAUUAGGGAAGCGUUACCUAAUCAGAAAGCCACGGCUAACUACGUGCCAGCAGCCGCGGUAAUUC
rnacentral:rRNA from 1 species